AAAAUGAAAUGCACCUAGCUACAUUCGUAUUGUAGCCUACUCAGUCGGUGCAAAACAGAAACAAGUAAUUUCUCAUCACAUCGUGCAUUUUAGUUUGCAUUGAGAAGUUUGGUGUUAUAGAUAUAUCCACACCCUACCUACCUUGUCCAGCGCUGGAUGGUCUAUCACUUCUUAAACACAUAGGAUUACUUAAUGUACACACCGGUCUUCUUGUGUGUCUGCAAAUCAUUUGUAAACAGCAGAACCAGUCCUUCCAGACAGUCUACUUUUCAAGGAACUGGAAGGACUGCAUUCUAGAUGUUUCCAAUUUCCAGGCCAUUCCGCAAUUUUCAACUCCAAUGAGAGACAACACAUGCUGAAAUGGCUGUUUAGGUAAAGUAAGGAAUUGGUAAGUGAUGAUUUUAAAUGCUGUCUCAGAUAAAAUGGACGAUUUGUGGUAGAUAAGGAUUUGCCUUUGUAAAAAGCAGGAAGCUUGUGUGGCUCAUUUCAUCUGUUUUGAUGUUGUAUGUUGUAUCUUACUCUGGAAACUCUGAUCGCCACUCACAGUAAUACCUCUUUAAUAAACGUUAUAAAGAGGAAUAUGAUGCAAAGCUAUCUAAUGUAAUUCUGAAACUGGCUUAAAAUAUAUUGUUUAGUAUACGGAAAACAAAUUAAGUUAAACUGUGUUGUAUAUAGAUUUUUUUUUUUUACUGUGUUUAUUGAUUUAAAAGUAUUUUGUUUGGUUUUAGAUGAUGAAAUAACAAUAUGCUGAUGUUAGGCAUGCUGUCUGAAUGUCACUACAAACCCUCAUUUACUAUGUCGAACACUAUAGAUUUUAUGUCGUUAUUCAUUACAGUACACAUGUACCAUAAUAUAAUGUAAAUAACAGCACAAUAGCAAUAAGAAUGCUCUAACCCUAUCAUCAUUUAACUUCUGUAUUAAUUCAGAGUUAAUGUUUACAUCUGAACUGUUCACUAAUUUGUUUAUUAGUAUGUUCAUUUAUUUUAAUUUUUUACACAAAGUCAAAAUGGAAUUAUUUUGUGAAUUAACAAUGUCUCAUUUUGUAUUACCCUGUAAGUCAAUUAAUGCUUUUUUGACUUGCCCAAAUAGUUUUUGGACUGCACUAUCUAAAAUAAAAGUGAUUUUUGCAAACUU